CCAAGGAGUCUAACAUGUGCGCGAGUCGGUGAGAUUUGGUAAAAGUUUUUACACGAGACUCACGGGCGCAAUGAAAGUGAAGGCAACUAACUGACGCCUUUUUUUGUUAAAUUAAGAAGGAGUUUUUAGUGGCUGCGGCAGGAUCUGUUUUUACUCCUCGAAACAUUAGUUCGUCAAAAAAACUUUUGUUUCGCUUGGGGGCAGCGCACUGCCAGCCCGUCGCGAUCGUUCUCUAGUCGAUGCGGCGGAGCCUGAGCACACACGUUGGGACCCGAAAGAUGGUGAUCUAUGCUUGAGCAGGACGAAGCCAGAGGAAACUCUGGUGGAGGUCCGUAGCGAUUCUGACGUGCAAAUCGAUCGUCGGACUUGAGUAUAGGGGCGAAAGACUAAUCGAACCGUCUA
rnacentral:rRNA from 1 species